CCGCGUGUGAGGCGCUUGCCUCUCUGUCUUGUCCCAGCUUUGCACUGUUGGCCAGACUCACUGAUUCAAGCUCUGCUCAGGUAUUAUCUCUUGCCAAUCCUCUCCUAACACCUCUGCAGGCAAAGCGAGCUGAGUGGCCCUUGGUGCUCUCCCAGCACCUUCUGUAUGGGUACCAGCUUGGAGCGUCGUCUUUUAAGACCAGGCAGGACAGUCGGUCAGCUGUGUUGUGGUCUCUCAUACUACCCUGGGAGCUCUCUGAAGACUUCUUGCCAAGGAGCUGAGAGUAUGAAGAUGAAUAGCAUGCAGUCUCUGUCUUCAAGAUGCUCAAAGUGAGGUGCAAGGAACAGACACAAACCAGAGAAACGCAGACUGUGUGGCCAGUGGGAACCCAGGCCUGUGCGUGGGAGCCAGGGAGCAUAAAGGGGGAAUGUUCAGUUCAGUCCAGGGGCUUCAAGGAAGAUCUCCCCUGGACAACAUCCCUGAGCUCAGUCUGCCUGGAUGACUUGAUGGAGGAGUGCAGAGCAGGGCGGGGUGCAGAGGAGGCUGAAGAAGAAGA